UUGUUUUUCUUCCUUUUUGCGAGUCACAAUACAGAGUUCCGUUGUUGCUUUGCCUGUUUUUACCGAGUCAAUUACGAGUCACGUCGUCCGAGUUUACCGAGUUAUGCUUGCUGAGUUCUGAGUCCAGGAGUUAGAGUUUUGUUGUUUUUGAUUUUGUUUCUUUUAAUCGAGUCGAUGGGUUUGUUUAGCUGCUGUGCCGAGUUGUUCUUGAGUUCGAUUUACGAGUUUGAGUUGCUGAUAUCAUGAGUCUGUUUGCUUUGAGUUAUGGUUAAAAGUUGUGUGGCGAGUUGCUGUUUUCAUCUCCGAGUCAGUUUCUUUGUUUUGUACCGAGUUUAUCACCGAGUUGGGGUUGAUUUAGUGUCCUGCGAUUGAGUCGACAUCUGGGUUUUGUUUCGAGUUGCUUGUCUGAGAUUUGUUUUAAGUUCUGUGUACUCUGUUAAUUCCGAGCAGCUGUUCCGUGUCCAGUGUUUGCAUAGUCGUUUGUUUGAUUUGUCGAUUGAAGCUGAGUCGUUCGAUUUUAGUCUAGCAUUAGUCGUAGUUCAGCCGAGUUGUGUAGUUUCCUAGUUAGAGUUCUGCUGAGUCUUAUUUCAUAGUCGAGCUGUUGUCUUUUUGUUGCUUCAUUUUUCAGUUUAUUGCUUUGAUUUUCCGAGUCAAUGUUUACGAGUUUUCUAAACCAUUUAACCGAGUCAUGGAACCAGGUUUAGAGUAUUUAAAGUGCUUGCUCUUUUAAUUAAGUUUAAUUUUAUAAUCUAAUUUUGGCUUAUUGAUUUUGGUUGAUUAAAUUAGACUCUCACUUAAUGUUAAAGAUUAGUUUUCUUUUUAAAAAAAUAUAUACCCUCUCCAUCAACUUAAUUGUUCUAAUUCGCCUAGAUUAGAAAUUAAGGUUUUCGAAAAAUAAUUUUAAUCCCUGUGGACGAAUCUUAAAUAUUAAAACAGUGAUCGUGCGCUUGCGAUUAAUAAGUUAAUAUUUCUAGCACAUCAAGUUUUUGGCGCCGCUGCCGGGGAUUAAAAUUAAUUUUUCGCUCCUUUAUUUUUAAUCUUUCGGAUUAGUUUGUUUCUCACUAUUUUUGUUUUUAUUUCGAGGAGGAUUAUUCGGGAAUCAUGGAGUAAAGUGGACAAAUUUUGCUCGGAUUUGGAAGCUUGCUUUGGAAAUUGUAGAUAAAUAAAGAAAGAAGAGAAAAUGCAAGAAAAAGGGAGAAAAAGAAAAGAAAAGAAGAAAAUCAAAGAGAGUUGGCAAGCAAGGGGGCACAUGGAUGGCUAUGAUUUACCCAACACACAUCACACAUGGAUGGAUUAGAUUUAGCCACCCUACCCCUAAACCCUACAUUUCUAGCUAUAAAUACCCCCACCCCCUUUACUUGUGAGGAUAAUCUUUUUAACCUAGUUUUUUCUAGUUGGUAGGUAGUAUAGUGGUAGAUCUUCUUUUGUUCUCUCAAUUUCAUACCAUAUUUGUAAACACUUUCAUAUUUUAAUGCAAGAUUUUAUCUUUUGUUCUUA